CUUUAAGUCACUUUUCUUUGGGUCUCAUUAGUGCCAAUGUUCAUUUGCUUUUCACUGAGGACACACACUGUCGACAUAUGAUGAGGAAGAUGUCAGGCAGGGUUAGAAGAAAUGGAGGUUUGAGUUUCACACUGCUUCUUAGAAUUAAACUGACAGGCGUAGUCUGAAACCUACAACAAGGGUGUGGCUGCAGAUGGUUAUCAAGCACCUCCAGAAGACCUGAUCCAGAGCCCAUGGCAGUCAAUGCUGGGUGAGCCUAGGAAAUCGCCUUCCUGUAGAACCAGCUCACAACAACCAGGGAAAGGAAAAUGCUCCAAGCUCGCCAAACUAGAGAAAUCAGUGGAGACCCCCUCAAGAGGGAAGCUUUUUAGACUCUUUAAACUCGUCCCCUUCCUUCUCUGCCAGA